CGCGCAGGCGGGUUAGCAAGUCAGAGGUGAAAUCCUACAGCUUAACUGUAGAACUGCCUUUGAGACUGCUAAUCUUGAGUACGGAAGAGAGAGAUGGAAUUCCAGGUGUAGUGGUGAAAUACGUAGAUAUCUGGAAGAACACCAGUGGCGAAGGCGGUCUCUUGGUCCACUACUGACGCUAAGGCGCGAAAGCGUGGGGAGCGAACA
rnacentral:rRNA from 1 species